CCCCUCUCAGGAUCGCACCUGGAGGGUUUCCAGUACUCUACCAGUCUCGGCUAUGGGAGGGAGAAUAAGGCAGAGACAUACCCAUUCCAUUCCUAGCUUGGUCAGUGGCCCGCAAGUGGAAGAUAAUCUGCUACAAAU